AAAAUAAUGAUGAUAAUGUUAAAAAAAGAAAAAAACAUAUUUUUAAUCUGCAGUAAUCACGAACAGUGUACCCAACCACAAGCGACAACGGAAAAAAAAGUCCCAUUUGUUUGCUUUCACGUUUAUUCGCAUUGUUACGAGGGAUGUGCCCGGGACUCUUGUUUUUAUUUAUUAUUGUUUUUUUCUUUUCACUAUCUAUACUGCCUGGGCAUUGUAUCCGUUGCACCCAACGACGGUUGCGUACACACACUCUACGAGAGUCGACGAUUGAGCCAAGACGCAAACGAAACGAGGAGGCAUCAUUCGUGCGGAACGGCGUAGAAGAAAUUGUGCCGCAAAAUAUUAGUAAAUUUCAAGUAUAUGUACCAAUACAGUAGUCACGACACGUUAGUGAUGUAUAAAUGUAUAGAAAUAAAUCUAAUUCAAUCGUUUUUCAA